rnacentral:lncRNA from 1 species
CUCAGAGGCAGGCAUAAAACAGGGAGAGAGCUUGACUUAAUUAAAUUUGGGUUUUUUUCAAGGUUGCAAAAUGCAGAAGGACAAGGGACAAGGGGAUUGCAAAUACAUGCAACAGAAUGAUUAUAAUGAUAGCUCAUAGAAACCAAAGCAGGUAAUGAGAAGAAUGAAGACAUAAUGGAAAUGACAAUCAGCAGCAAGUCAAAGGAUUGAAGGAAGUUCAGCAGAAGAACUUCACUGUGAGAG